CACAAGUUAUGGGAAGAACUUUAAGGAAUGUCACCUCAAGGUCACUGCAGUGAAGGAUCGACCCGAACCUGAGACAUCGAGUGACACCAGACUGAGAAGAGAAAGGGAAAGCAUCGUUCUCUACUGUGCACUGGGACUGACAGCAGCUCUACUGGUUCUUUCUUUAUUUUCUGAUAUUAGUGAUCAGGACAACAAACAAUACCUCGGAGUCACAAUUGAAGUUAUUGAUCCUUUAAGUGAUUGCACAGAAACCGUCUGAGGUGUCCAGCUGAGACAAAUCGGGAUCUUAAGCCUGUUUGUGUUAUUAAAAACUACUUUAAUUUCCAGUUUACGUGUUUAAACUCCAACUUGACCCAAAAAGUUCUUUUAAAUAGCUGAUUUAUCUAAAAGCUGUUCAUCAAUAACAUUGAAUACCCCAAACUUGAUGGAAAUAGACUGGCUUCACUGACAGGGAGAGCAGUGUGAUAGAAACGCCCUCACACUAAAUCACAGUGUCCACAGUGGUCAUUGUCGUCCUGUUUAUAGCUGUGGAUUUUUUUAACAGGAAGUUUGCGACAUUAGAUUGUUUUGUUAUUUUUUAUAAUAUGUCACUUCGAAUGGAAUUCUCAUCAAGCGCGUACAACGUAAAGCAGAUGCAGUACCGUUUGCAGCCACUACGACGGGCUGGUGGCGCUCGUUCAAGAUAGAUAGAGAGAUGGAUACAUUAUACUAGAUUACAUAUAUAAUAUAUAUAGAGAGAGAGAGAAAAAAUAUUGAACUUCAAAUUAGUUUGGCGUUGUUUUAAUCUGCAUUAAAUAACUGAUGAUGUGAUGUUUGCUGAAAUCAAUUGGACAGCCCUCCCUACAAAAUGUUCCACCAGCCACAUCUGGAUCUUUGGACGUCUCCUGUGUGUCUCAUGGACCAACAGCAGCAUGAAGGUAUCAGUGAGUCCACAGAGACACGUGUGACUCAGGGAGCCCAGCUGGUGAACGCUGAGCCCUCGUUGUUUGUGUGAUGGUGAGUUAGUUUAGUUUCAUCAGGACCAAACUGACUCACCUUCAGACAUCACAGCAUGAAUGUAAGUCAAUGGUGACAUGAAGUGUCAGGGAGACUGUGGGUGUAGAGUCCAACCAGAGGAUCAACGGUUCCAUCCCAGGCGCUCUGAGGGGUCGGGAGAAUAGAAAAGCACUUUGCUCUUAUAUUGUUUCCUCUUUCAAAAGAAUAAAUUGUACUUUUGAAUUUAACGUUUUAAAAAACGAACACAAAAGAUGUUAUUAACCUUCACCAAAAAAUAGCAUUACAUUUUUAAAUACUCAGGGAAUGUUAUUGAUAUAUGUAAGUCUCGUUUUUAUUUUUUAUCCUAUUGUUACACUUUUAAAAGAAUUGUAUUUUUACUUUCCACAUUCAAAUCACAAAUCAAAACCCAUUAGCUGCUUUUAAUGUGA